UUUUUUUGAAAAUUUUGAAUUUUUUCAUAUGGAAGAUCUGAAAGACAAAUCUUAUAGUGUAAACAAAUCAAUACUCAAUUUUGACAUAAAGUUAAUUGAAAAACAUUGACUUUUCAAAAUAGUGAUAAAUUAACUUUUACUAAUAAAAUAAAGCACCCGAUUAAAACAACCGACGAAAUCCCCGUACAUACAAUCUCCUAUAGAUACCCUUUUAUGUUACGGUUACUUUUUCAUAUGGAUCAUGAAUGCCUUCUAUGAAUAUUGAAUUAAUUCUUAAUUUGGUACUUCCAUUUCAUGUCUUUAUUGUUGAUGUUGUUGUAAGUCUUCAUUGUUGAAUCUUCACAAUUGUUCAAAGCACAAGUUGUUAAUUCAGGAUUUUUUUUAAUUUGUGCUAAAUUGCGACUAACCAUUUCCCUCGCAUCGUAUUUUCCGUGCAAAUCGUUCUUGGGGGUUGUUACACUCAGAGAGUACGGAGCAUGGGGCAGCCCACCAACUAUGGAACCUGAGGGACGGCAAUUUUAGCAAAUAUACGAACUUCUAAUUAAGAAGAGGAAGGAAAAAUAAGCUAAAAACCCUACCAAUGGUAAACCCGAAACCAGCCCUUCAUUCCUGUCGUCCUAGGCGGGAGGAGUUAUAUGUAUAAUUUUGACUGUAAGUUUUGACCUGUAUGUUUAAAUAUGUUUAUUAAGUAAUCCUUUAUCUUAUGCUUUAUAACUAAUUUAUUAUGCUUUAUAAUAACUUUAAACCUAUAUAUUCCUAUGUAGCCUAUUAUUUAGCAACACUGGGCUCGUACGU